rnacentral:piRNA from 1 species
UGCAUUUGUGGAAACAAAGAUUUCCCUGUGA